rnacentral:rRNA from 1 species
UGGGGAAUAUUGCACAAUGGGCGCAAGCCUGAUGCAGCCAUGCCGCGUGUGUGAAGAAGGCCUUCGGGUUGUAAAGCACUUUCAGCGGGGAGGAAGGCGAUAAGGUUAAUAACCUUGUCGAUUGACGUUACCCGCAGAAGAAGCACCGGCUAACUCCGUGCCAGCAGCCGCGGUAAUACGGAGGGUGCAAGCGUUAAUCGGAAUUACUGGGCGUAAAGCGCACGCAGGCGGUCUGUCAAGUCGGAUGUGAAAUCCCCGGGCUUAACCUGGGAACUGCAUUCGAAACUGGCAGGCUAGAGUCUUGUAGAGGGGGGUAGAAUUCCAGGUGUAGCGGUGAAAUGCGUAGAGAUCUGGAGGAAUACCGGUGGCGAAGGCGGCCCCCUGGACGAAGACUGACGCGCAGGUGCGAAAGCGUGGGGAGCAAACAGG